GACUGGUCUGAAGGUGGUGAGUUAAGUCAAUUGAUCGUUCACAGUUGCAGAUCAAACUCCUUGUCUUACUCUUUUCCCCCCUUCUCACUACUGCAUUUGACUCAUCUAUG
rnacentral:Y_RNA from 1 species